ACAGCCGUGGUCGCUUCGCGAGGCCGCCGCUUGUCAGCGCUAGGGCGUGCCUGAGGAACUGGAGGCUGGGGAGAACUAGUAGACCACGUUCUGCCUGGAGUGCUGCAAGUCUCAUAUCUACCCAAGAGUCUCCUUGACCACUCCUGGACCAGGAUCACUUGUCCUGCACCCAUGAUGACACCACAAGAAGGAACAACGGCAAUACAGCAAGAGUCUGUUUGCUGUGUACAUGCAGCUUCUAAAGAACUACCCUGAACCCCACUUCCAGUCAGACACUGCCCCUGCCCUGGAGGGAAUUAUGAGGCAACCAGUACCCAGGUCCCACUACAGCCCCUCGCUUGGACAUGAUGAAUGGGUGGUGGUAGCGCAGGCAUUACUGCUACAAAUGGAGGUUCCACCAGGAUCCAAGAAAGAAGGGUCAAGCUGAUGGACACCUGAAAGUAAGGCUGGCCAGCAUUUUAAAGAAAAGAGAAGAGCUGCCAGCUAAAGUCGUGCUGGGA